rnacentral:snoRNA from 1 species
CACUUGUUAGUAGGAUAUUUCUUACAAAAAAUGUCUGAACAUAUGAACUCCAUAGUGAUUUCAGGGCAAUGCUGAGAUAAGCU